rnacentral:misc_RNA from 1 species
CGCACAUUGCGCCCCGUGGUAUUCCGCGGGGCAUGCCUGUUCGAGCGUCAGUACAACCCUCAAGCUCAGCUUGGUCUUGAGCCCCGCCGGCAACGGCAGGCUUUAAAAUCAGUGGCGGCGCCGCCUGGCUCUCAGCGUAGUAAUACACCCCGCUGAAGAGUUCCGGCGGAUGCUUGCCAGCAACCCCAACUUCUAAGUUUGACCUCGGAUCAGGUAGGGAUACCCGCUGAACUUAA